rnacentral:lncRNA from 1 species
CUCACAUUUAUUUGUAAAAAAGUCCAGUAAUAUUCAUAUUUGUUCAUCUUAUUUAUUACUAUUAGAACAAUGUUUAUUUUUUAACAAAGAAUAAGUAAAAUAAAAGCUCCAGCGGUUAGAAUUGUAUAGAAAUAUUUUUCUAAAAAUCGCCAACAAUUAUUUUCUUCCUUUUGGCCGUCCCAAAUAAUAUAAGAGGGGAUAAAAAGUUCAAUUUACCUUAUUCACUAAUCAGGAUUAAGUAUUUCACCUAUGACUAACUAUAUUUUUCUACGAAUCCUAACAGCAGAAUAUAUUUGAAAACGUUAUGAUUUUUACAGGAAUUAAGUAUGAAAAGUUGAACUUUGUAGGAAUAUAUUUGCUGUUUGAUAUAUUUAUAGGGAGCUUUAUGCAAAUAACCAAUUGAGAUGAUCUCUAAUAAGAGGGUGUUUGGUCCAGAUUCUGAAAAUAAAUUUUAAGUCAAAAGUAUUUUUGUUUCUUUAAUAAAGUACUUAGUAGUCUCUUUUUCAAAAUUUGAUUUUAAUUUCAAAAAUUAGUUUUCUAAGUUUAUUGGAGAUCAAAACUAGAUUUUUAACUUAUCGGGUCCAUCCAACGCUAUUAGAUAAAAUAGAGUUGGAAUAAAAGCAGAUAGGGAUAUGCUUCUACGUUCUUCAGUAUGACCGUAUAAAAUAUAUCGUAAUCGACUCAUUGCGAUAUACGGAGUGUAAUAUUACGUACGGAAAUAAACAUAAUAUUUUUUCAUCAUACUUUCUAACUGCAUGUAACGUAAUCUCUCCAUAAUUUCAAAUGAAACCUUACAAGUAACUUGUUUAGUGAAAAGCAGCUUUUCACUAAAGCUAAGCCGAGAAAAAGCACUCCUAUGUAAACCAGUGACGGAUCUCUACGAAAAAAAAAGGGAAAACUUUAAAAAACCCCUUAUGUGGUUUCGUAGUUUCUCACUUUGCCUCCCUAUGGUUUAAAAUGUAUCAGUUUGCCCCCCUGUGGUUUCUUUUUUCUCUUUUUCUUAUCAAUCUUAUUAUUUUUUUUUCUUAAAUCAGUGAUAAAGUUAAAAUUAAAGGGUACUAAAAUGAAUAUUUGAUAAAUCUAUAUGGGUAUCUUAAGUUUUUUGUAUAUAAUUUAAUGAAAUAUUAACAAAAAGGCUACCGAAAAGAUAAACACGAAACCACAGGGGGCAAUUUGAUACAUUUUAAACUACAAAGGGGCAAAGUGAGAAACUACGAAACCACAGGGGAGGUUUUUGAAGUUUUCCCCAAAAAAAAACAAACCCA